GCAAGUGUUGUUCGGAAUUACUGGGCGUAAAGGGCGCGCAGGCGGCUCAUUUUGUCAGGCGUGAAAGCCCCGGGCUUAACCUGGGAGGUGCGUUUGAUACGGAUGGGCUAGAGUUCGGGAGAGGAGAGUGGAAUUCCCAGUGUAGAGGUGAAAUUCGUAGAUAUUGGGAAGAACACCGGUGGCGAAGGCGGCUCUCUGGACCGAGACUGACGCUGAGGCGCGAAAGCGUGGGGAGCAAACAGG
rnacentral:rRNA from 1 species